CACGUAGGGCGCAAGCGUUGUCCGGAAUUAUUGGGCGUAAAGAGCUCGUAGGCGGUCUGUUGCGUCCGCUGUGAAAACCCGGGGCUUAACCCUGGGCUGGCAGUGGAUACGGACAGACUAGAGGUAGGUAGGGGAGAAUGGAAUUCCCGGUGUAGCGGUGAAAUGCGCAGAUAUCGGGAGGAACACCGGUGGCGAAGGCGGUUCUCUGGGCCUUACCUGACGCUGAGGCGCGACAGCGUGGGGAGCAAACAGG
rnacentral:rRNA from 1 species